AUGUUAAUGACUUUGGUGACAAAAGUCGUCCGUGGAAGACUUUUUCUUUAUAGUGUAGCAUCAGCGGGGGUGAGCGCGGCCACCACGUUACUGUGGGGAUGGGAUCACACCCAGGGCUGUGCUGUGGGGAUGGGAUCACAGCCAGGGCUGUGCCCAGCUCCGUGCAGCCUGGGGUGCGGUGUGGGCCGGCACUACACCCGGUGCUGCAGCUGCCCUCCUUUGUUCUCUCCGGGGCUGGGGGGUGUGCGGGGCUCCCUCCACUGCACUGCCGGUAUCGGGGCCGCCCCGAGCUCUGCGGAUGGAGGGUGGGCAGCGCUGCAGGAAGGCCUGGAUGGACAGAUGGACAUAUGGAUGGAUAGACGGAUGCAUGGCUCACGUGCAGCACAGAGAGGGUCGCAGCCCGCGUACGGCGCCGGUGCUGCCGACCCCCGGCAUUACCGUUGCACAGCAACGCAGCUCCGCAGGGGCACGAGGCCGAGCCCCGCGGUCGCCAGCGCCGCCCCAGGGGACGGGAGCGGGACGCAGAUUGGCAGAAACGGGAAAAAAUGGCAGCGCCCUUCGCUUUCCGAGCAAAACACCCAUUUCCGGCAGCGCGACUCCCGACCGCCUGCAGCCCCGCGGGCGACCCCGCGCCGUUCCCGCACGGUGCCCCCCACCCGCGGUGUCACUCGUUUCCUCUGCUGGAGGGGAACCAGAGGGUCCACCAAGGACGUCUUGGGGACACUCCAUCCUCCCUGUGUUCCCCCCCGAGAAGGUUCGUGCUCUGUACCUACUCUGCUCCUCCUGGCUGAAUGCCUGCACAGACAGAACCCUCUUCUCCGUUUUCCUAAUAGCAUCCAUAAAUUUAUUCUUGCUUCCAACCUGCCAGGUCCCCACAUGACACACGGUGUCCUCCAGCCCGCGCCGCAGCGAUGGAUUGAACUUUAGUCUCUGAGCAAUUAAGGUGACCUGAAACUGCACUUCAUUAAUGGUUGUUAUGCAAUAAAAACGAUAAAACUGCCCUUAUUUGCA
rnacentral:lncRNA from 1 species